UGAUUUAUAAUUAUAGUCUCGUUCGUAUGAACCUUAUUGAUUACAAACAUACCAAAUAGAACUGAAAUAACUACUACUAGCUUUAUAGUUUUAUGAGCAUAAACUUUGUAAACUAAAUCUAAUAUUUUUAUAUAGAUACUGAAGAUAAACUGGAAAAGGGCUGCAUAAUCCAGUUUUACUGAUAAAUUUGUUUGCAUUAUAUGCAACAUAGCUGACUUGAUGAAAAAUAAAUAAUUUUAUACAACUUAAUUUGGAUGAGCAAGAGUAAAAUUGGAAGAGGACGGAACAUUAUUCAAAAAUUUGGUCAAUGUUGAAGUUCUGGUGGAAUCUUGGAAGACUUAAAGAAUAAACCUAUGUUCAAGUGAAAUUGUGAAGACAACAAUAUUUUUAUCAAGCUAUGGUCAGUGCUGGAUGGAUUUAGCAUUAUUCUUUAUCAAUCAAGGCUUCCUAUGGAACCCAUUGUGAAGGAAAUUCUCAAUUUAUGGUACUCCAUAUUCAAAAUGUUUCAAUGCUGUGCAAAAUUAUCCAAGAUGAUUAUGACUCUUUAAAAGAUGUAUGCAGAAAUUUUAAUGACCUCCCAUGGACUCCCAAUGUGAAAAAUGAUGCAAGAACACAAUGAGCCUAUAAUAAAAUAUUUGCAGGAUAUUAAUGAUAUGGGCCCAACCCAGAGAUGGUGCUUAAGUUAUGAGAUAUGUGGGUAAUGUGAUGUGGAACAAAGUGCUGUAAAUAGUAUUAUGAUAUAUUUUCGUGAUAGCACUCUUAAAACAUCUCACAAUGUAUGAUUUGGAUGAUGAAGUAAAAAAUUGGAGCCAAAAAAAUAUUAAUGUGGGCAAAUAAUAAACAGAACUGGAUGAAAAUAUAUUGUGUUAAACAAGGGAAACAUAUUUUCAUGAUACCAUUUAAGAAACACCGCAACUAUAUGAUUUAUAUCCGUUCUCUUAACUUCGACUUGCCAGAAUCACAAGCUGAAAUUCUCUUCAAUUUGAGCAUAACAUUGUUAUGAUUUAAUUAAAUAUAUGAUGUUGUAA